rnacentral:rRNA from 1 species
CAGUAGCCACGGUAAUACAGAGGGAGCUAGCGUUGUUCGGAAUUACUGGGCGUAAAGCGCACGUAGGCGGCUUUGUAAGUUAGAGGUGAAAGCCCGGGGCUCGACUCCGGAACUGCCCUUAAGACUGCAUCGCUUGAAUCAUGGAGAGGCGGGUGGAAUUCCGAGUGUAGAGGUGAAAUUCGUAGAUAUUCGGAAGAACACCAGUGGCGAAGGCGGCCCGCUGGACAUGUAUUGACGCUGAGGUGCGAAAGCGUGGGGAGCAAACAGGAUUAGAUACCCCAGUAGUCCCUGUCUCUUAUAU